CGCGCCGUAGCUCAGUCGGUAGAGCCUUGGCGCGCAGGUUCAAAUCCUGCUGGCGCGA
rnacentral:tRNA from 1 species